UCAGGUUCUGUGAUAUUCAUCUCAGGUUCUGUGAUAUCACUGCUCUGGUUUGUGAUAUCACUGCUCAGGUUCUGUGAUAUCACUGCUCUGGUUUGUGAUAUCACUGCUCUGGUUUGUGAUAUCACUGCUCUGGUUUGUGAUAUCACUGCUCUGGUUCUGUGAUAUCACUGCUGGCAGCUUAGCAAAGUCCAGAAGAAAUCAGGGACAUCACGAUCCUGACUCCAUGUGAUGAACAUCUGAGGAAUGUUUCAGUGGCCAUUUGGAAAGAGGAGGGAGCCAAAACCAAGGAUUUUAGAAUAUCACAACAAAUGACUCAGAUUCUGUGCAGCUGUUUAAUGCAUCAAGCCUCAGUCCAAUGAAACUGCAGCAGGAUGAAUUUGGACUCUUAUACUUUGGGGACUAUGAUGGGUUUUGCUCCAGAUGCAAAAUGACAGACUGCUGAUGGCUCUUUACAUAUAUUUUGCAGACUGAGUUAAUCAUAAAUAAUUAUGUCAAAUAAAGCAAAUU